ACUUGAUACCUUGGGGGGAAAAUGCUUUUCAUAUUCCUAUAACAACAUUUUAAAAAUCUUAUAUGAACUGGAGUUUAACCAGUUGUUCCUUUUUGUAUUCCAAUUAUUCUGAAUAAAAUCAUAUGUUAUUAUGAAGAAAAGGGAGAGAAAUCACGUGCAAAAGUUGCUCUUAACACAGCUAACAGAAUGCUGUGCUUUAGUGGCAGCCAGGAAGAACAGCCAUCUGGGAUGGAUAUACUGCAAUGGGUAAAAUUUUUGCAAUACAGGAAAGCAACAUUACAAAUACAAACAAGAAAAAGCAGAUCUUUGACAUUUGGAGACGUAGUAAGGUAAAACUUGAAUCAGGGGAGUAGCAGCAUGGCUAUCAACUGGAAUAAAAUAAAUCUAGCACUAAGUAGCCUUCAAACUAAGGCUGGAGCUGAAACCUGCUCUGUCAUAAUCCUUUCAAUUAUAAUACUCAGCAACUGCAAAUUAUGUGAACAUUUGAAAAAAACAUGAGCUAUCCACAUACAAAUAGCUACCACUAAGUUUCACAGAAUCAUAGAAUCACAGAAUAUGCUGAGUUGGAAGGGACCCACGAGGAUCAUAGAGUCCAACCCUUAUCCCUGCACAGCACCAUCCUCAAGAGUCACACCACACUCCCGAGAGUAUGAUCAGGGUUUGUUUAUCGUGGGGUUAAUUUUUGUUGUCUGAUAACAACCACACCUAGUUUCUUGGACUGAAAACAAACAGAUUAAUGUUUCUUGCUCUUGUUUCCACUUUCUCUGUUUCAUACUUGAAUGUCAGAACAAAAUCAGUGGUGAAAAGCUUCAUAGCCAAACCCAACAACUGUCCCUUGCAGGAGUGGCUCAGCUGGAUCUAUGCUCUUCAUUAAAAGGAUGGAAACACAAUGAGUUCCAAAGGAAAUACUCUGUCACACCGUGUAUCAAGCCUGUGGUCGUCAGAAGUCUCCCAUACACAGGAAAAUUCCCAGCCGUAGAGCUGUAUCAAGAGGAGGAGGCUACUACUGCUCUGCCUCAAAGCCACUUAGUCUGCUCUCUGGAAAGCUUGUGUAAAUUUACCAAUGGUUUAAAUGCAACUGCAAAUCUCCAGCACAGCUGCAUUGGCAUGCUGAUCAUUCUGCAUCAUUCACUUGAUCUGAGUACACUUUAUCUCAGGUUUUAGCUUAUCAUAAAGGGGAGUCGGCAGUACUAAUGUAAUAGUUUGAAGAUUGUCCUAAGAUGGAAGUCAAAUUAAAAAAAUAAAAUAUUUUAAUGAA